CCAGAGAAGACAAAAAAACAAAAUGAACUAUAACAACUCUCAGUCCUCACACCCUCAUGACCAGAACGUGAUUCCUAUCUACCAAAUGAGAAAAGCCAAAGUGUUUCU